UACAACCUGGAGUUUGGUUAAUAGUAAUGUACCUAUAUCAAUUUCUUUGUUUUGACAAAUUUACUGCAGCCAUAUAGGAUUUUAACAUUAGAAGAACUGGGUGAUGGAAACUCUCUUGUGCUAUCUCUGCAACUUUUUUGUAAAUCCAAAAUUAUUCCAACCUAAAAAGUUUAAGAAAUGACUACACUCUAAAAUAGGCCAUCCAUGCAAAAUAAAAGGGUAACUAUAUAGAAUGCCAAUGAUUGGAAAAUACAAAUCUAAUCAUGUCACCUCUUUAUAAAACCCAAGAGCUUUCCAUGACUUCUAGAAUCAAGACAAAACUCCUUACUGUAUGUUAUGGUUCAUUCAUAUGUCAACUUGGCUAGGCUACAGCAGCCAGUUAUGUAAUUGAACACUAACCUACGUGUGGCUGUGAAGGUGUUUUAUAGAUGUGCUUAACAUCUGCAGUCAGUUGACUUUAAAUAACUAGAGUAACUUCAAGUAAUAAGUUAUCCACCUUGAUAAUGUGGUGGGCUUCAUCCAAUCAACGAAAGGCCUUAAGAACAACAACUAAGGUUCCCAGAGAAGAAGAAAUUCUUCAUCAAAAAAGAAGAAAUUACACGUCAAGAUUGCAGCA
rnacentral:lncRNA from 1 species